GACGAACGCUGGCGGCGUGCUUAACACAUGCAAGUCGAACGGUGAAGCUCCAGCUUGCUGGAGUGGAUCAGUGGCGAACGGGUGAGUAACACGUGAGCAACCUGCCCCUGACUCUGGAAUAAGCGCUGGAAACGGCGUCUAAUACUGGAUACGAGAAGGGUCCGCAUGGGCACUUUCUGGAAAGUUUUUCGGUUGGGGAUGGGCUCGCGGCCUAUCAGCUUGUUGGUGAGGUAAUGGCUCACCAAGGCGACGACGGGUAGCCGGCCUGAGAGGGCGACCGGCCACACUGGGACUGAGACACGGCCCAGACUCCUACGGGAGGCAGCAGUGGGGAAUAUUGCACAAUGGGCGAAAGCCUGAUGCAGCGACGCCGCGUGAGGGAUGACGGCCUUCGGGUUGUAAACCUCUUUCAGCAGGGAAGAAGCGAGAGCGACGGUACCUGCAGAAGAAGCACCGGCUAACUACGUG
rnacentral:rRNA from 1 species